GACGAACGCUGGCGGCGUGCUUAACACAUGCAAGUCGAACGGAAAGGCCCUGCUUUUGUGGGGUGCUCGAGUGGCGAACGGGUGAGUAACACGUGAGUAACCUGCCCUUGACUUUGGGAUAACUUCAGGAAACUGGGGCUAAUACCGGAUAGGAGCUCCUGCUGCAUGGUGGGGGUUGGAAAGUUUCGGCGGUUGGGGAUGGACUCGCGGCUUAUCAGCUUGUUGGUGGGGUAGUGGCUUACCAAGGCUUUGGCGGGUAGCCGGCCUGAGAGGGUGACCGGGCAACGAUGGAGAGGGGGAGCGGCCGAAACCCCUCGGGGGGGAGGCAGGGGGGAAUGUUGCAAACGGGGGGGGGGCCGCGUACGGCAUCCCCGGGGGCGGGAAGACGGCCUUGGGGGUGUAAACCGCUUCCCCCUGGAACAAAGGGUAAGUGAGGGGAUGGGGAAAGAAGCACCGGCCAACUACGU
rnacentral:rRNA from 1 species